CACGUAGGGUGCGAGCGUUGUCCGGAAUUAUUGGGCGUAAAGAGCUCGUAGGCGGUUCGUCGCGUCGGCUGUGAAAACCCGGAGCUCAACUCCGGGCCUGCAGUCGAUACGGGCGGACUUGAGUGUUGCAGGGGAGACUGGAAUUCCUGGUGUAGCGGUGAAAUGCGUAGAUAUCUGGAGGAACACCGGUGGCGAAGGCGGCGUCCUGGACCAAUACUGACACUGAGUGAGCGAAAGCCAGGGGAGCAAACGGG
rnacentral:rRNA from 1 species